rnacentral:rRNA from 1 species
AGAUUGAACGCUGGCGGCAGGCCUAACACAUGCAAGUCGAGCGGUAGAGAGGUGCUUGCACCUCUUGAGAGCGGCGGACGGGUGAGUAAUGCCUAGGAAUCUGCCUAGUGGUGGGGGAUAACGUUCGGAAACGGACGCUAAUACCGCAUACGUCCUACGGGAGAAAGCGGGGGACCUUCGGGCCUCGCGCCAUUAGAUGAGCCUAGGUCGGAUUAGCUAGUUGGUGAGGUAAUGGCUCA